rnacentral:misc_RNA from 1 species
GCAAUUAAUCGCUUAAUUCUCCAAUUAAUCACACUCUGUGCAUGACUCAACCAGCCUUCUUUUUCCUGAACGAACACAUAACAAGCUAAGCAUAACCAAGCACGUCUCUGUGUGAAAGUGUCUCAAUCUGUCUGCCACCAUCAUCCCUCUUCGUUUAUAUCCUAAAAACAACACAACAAAAGCUGGAGUGUUUGAAGUAAGCUUACCCUUUAUAAACUUUUUCUGAAGCAAUGUUUACAUGUCACUUAUCACUAUACUUUUAUUUUGUUCUCAGCAGAGAGAAAAAUUGACCUCCACCCCUCCAUUUUUAGGCAUUUGGGAGAGUAAGAUUAAUGACAAAAUACCUUAGCCUAAACACAAAACAAAAACAACCAUUUUCUUUUUUGUUAUAUUCAAUUGGAAGUUCCUUGUGGGUUGGCUCUUUCACUUUAGUUGCUCUUUCGUUCUUUUCGUUGGACCUAAAGCUAAACGAAAGAGAGAGACAGAGAAGAAGAUAUGGAAAAGUUAAGCCA